UUAUUUGAGAGUUUGAUCCUGGCUCAGGAUGAACGCUGGCGGCGUGCCUAACACAUGCAAGUUGAGCGAUUUACUUCGGUAAAGAGCGGCGGACGGGUGAGUAACGCGUGGGUAACCUACCCUGUACACACGGAUAACAUACCGAAAGGUAUGCUAAUACGGGAUAACAUAUUUGAGAGGCAUCUCUUAAAUAUCAAAGGUGAGCCAGUACAGGAUGGACCCGCGUCUGAUUAGCUAGUUGGUAAGGUAACGGCUUACCAAGGCGACGAUCAGUAGCCGACCUGAGAGGGUGAUCGGCCACAUUGGAACUGAGACACGGUCCAAACUCCUACGGGAGGCAGCAGUGGGGAAUAUUGCACAAUGGGCGAAAGCCUGAUGCAGCAACGCCGCGU
rnacentral:rRNA from 1 species